GGAGACGUGGCCGAGUGGUCGAAGGCACUCCCCUGCUAAGGGAGCAUCUGGCUAAACCCUGGAUCGGAAGUUCGAAUCUUCUCGUCUCCGCCA
rnacentral:tRNA from 1 species